rnacentral:rRNA from 1 species
UACGUAGGGUGCAAGCGUUGUCCGGAAUUAUUGGGCGUAAAGAGCUCGUAGGCGGCCUGUCGCGUCGGCUGUGAAAACCCGGGGCUCAACCCCGGGCCUGCAGUCGAUACGGGCAGGCUAGAGUUCGGCAGGGGAGACUGGAAUUCCUGGUGUAGCGGUGAAAUGCGCAGAUAUCAGGAGGAACACCGGUGGCGAAGGCGGGUCUCUGGGCAACUCCUGACGCUGAGGCGCGAAAGCGUGGGGAGCAAACGGG